GUGCUCCCUUCGGCAGCAUAUCUACUAGAAUUAGAACAAUACAGAGAAGAUUAGCAUGGCCUCUGCACAAGGAUGACACGAAAAUUCGUGAAGCAUUCCAUAUUUUU
rnacentral:snRNA from 1 species